rnacentral:rRNA from 1 species
AUUGAACGCUGGCGGCAUGCUUUACACAUGCAAGUCGAACGGUAACAGGGUGCUUGCACCGCUGACGAGUGGCGAACGGGUGAGUAAUGCGUCGGAACGUGCCGAGUAGUGGGGGAUAACGCAGCGAAAGUUGUGCUAAUACCGCAUACGUACUGAGGUAGAAAGUGGGGGACCUUCGGGCCUCACGCUAUUCGAGCGGCCGACGUCGGAUUAGCUAGUAGGUGAGGUAAAGGCUCACCUAGGCGACGAUCAGUAGCGGGUCUGAGAGGAUGAUCCGCCACACGGGGACUGAGACACGGCCCAGACUCCUCCGGGAGGCAGCAGUGGGGAAUUUUGGACAAUGGGCGAAAGCCUGAUCCAGCCAUGCCGCGUGUCUGAAGAAGGCCUUCGGGUUGUAAAGGACUUUUGUCAGGGAGGAAAUCCCUAGUGCUAAUAACACUGGGGGAUGACAGUACCUGAAGAAUAAGCACCGGCUAACUACGUGCCAGCCGCCGCCGUAAUAC